rnacentral:rRNA from 1 species
AAUGAACGCUGGCGGCGUGCUUAACUCAUGCAAGUCGAGGGGUAGGAGGGGCUUGCUCCUUCGAGACCGGCGCACGGGUGCGUAACGCGUAUGCAAUCUGCCUUGUACAGAGGGAUAGCCCAGAGAAAUUUGGAUUAAUACCUCAUAGUAUAUGGAUGUGGCAUCACAUUCAUAUUAAAGAUUUAUCGGUACAAGAUGAG